UUCACCUUGGGGCCAAUAAUAGGUGACUAUAUCAUUUGGUUGCAAAUAAAAUGCCUAUCAUUCAAUCCUAAAGUUUUCUUGAAUUCUAGGGAAAAGUUCAAAUUAUUCCUAAAAGUUGGGAUUUUGUUUGAUAGUAGCCUUUGAAGUUACUUUAUUUCCAAGUAUAAAUUUCAGAUUUUAAUUGUCUCAUUGUUAGUCCCCUUUAACAAAGAUGUUAGUGAAAGUAAUAAAAAUAAUGUGGAGCCAUUAAAUUCCCAAAUUACUUUUCUUUCACUCCUUUAAAAACAUUUUUCAAGAAUUCUCUCAUUUAAAAGUUCAACAAACAUGAAAAAAAGAAGUUUUUGGUCCUCUAAGUAUGAUGUAUUCUUUAAUAAACAAAACUAUGGAAACAAAACAAAACAAAACUUAACUUUAGCAAAAAGUAAAAAAACCGCUCAAUGAAAGUCUAAGUAUUUAAUCCAAGCUUAUAAAAUCCAUUUUUAGAAUCUUACGAUUCUCGAUUUAAAUCAUAUGAUGUGAUUUGAUUUUUCAUUCAAGCAAUUUGAAUCUAUGGGGUGAA
rnacentral:misc_RNA from 1 species